rnacentral:rRNA from 1 species
AUUGAACGCUAGCGGCAGGCCUAACACAUGCAAGUCGGGCGAUAGGCGGACGGGUGAGUAAUGUAUGGGGACUGCCUGAUGGCGGGGGAUAACUACUGGAAACGGUAGCUUAUACCGCAUACCAUAAGUUAACCCAUAUGGGAUUAGCUAGUAGGUGAGGUAACGGCUGACCUAGGCGACGAUCCCUAGCUGGUCUAGGAGGAUGAUCAGACACACUGGUACUUAGACACGGCCGAGACUCCGACGGAGGCAGGAGGGGGGAAGAUUGCACAACGGGCGCAAGCCUGAGGCAUCAAUGCGGCGUGUAUGAAGAAGGCGUGCGGGUUGAAAAGCACUUUCAGACGGGAGGCGUUGCCGACCGAAAAAGGGCCGGCUAACUCCGUGCCAGAAGCGGCGGUAAUAC